UGAAAGCAAAGAUGGAAGACCUGUCCUGUGGUCUCGAAUACCAAAGACACUGAAUCUAGGCCCCCAAGGCCAUGAGCCUGCCCCAAGGCAUUACUUCUAACAAACCUCAAGAGAUCUUGGUGUCUGCUUCCCAGAGGACCCAACUGACACAGGCCAUGUGACCUGGGACAGAUACCUGUCCAGUUUUUGUUUUUCUCAGCUGCGGACUGGGACUCUUGGCCAUAACCUGCCUCAUAGGGUGGUAGUGUGGAGUCACCGAAUGCAUACGGCGCCUGGCCCAGGUGGGCACUCCACACAUGUGUUAUGUCUCAGGAAUCCUGCUCGGCCUGUGGAUUUGAGUUGCAGGCAUCCUGCAUCCGGGUAUAGGAACUGCAGCAAGAUGUAGCCCUUGGACUCAUUCACACAUGCUUCUGAAGUAAAGUCAUAGAGACGCCAA